rnacentral:tRNA from 1 species
UCAGAAAAUAGUUUAAUUAAAAUAAUAACAUUGGAAGUUAUAGAUUAAAAUGAAAUUUUAUUUUUUGAU